rnacentral:rRNA from 1 species
AUUGAACGCUGGCGGCAUGCCUUACACAUGCAAGUCGAACGGCAGCACGGGCUUCGGCCUGGUGGCGAGUGGCGAACGGGUGAGUAAUACAUCGGAACGUGCCCUGUCGUGGGGGAUAACUAGUCGAAAGAUUAGCUAAUACCGCAUACGACCUGAGGGUGAAAGCGGGGGACCGGUAACGGCCUCGCGCGACAGGAGCGGCCGAUGUCUGAUUAGCUAGUUGGUGGGGUAAGAGCCUACCAAGGCGACGAUCAGUAGCUGGUCUGAGAGGACGAUCAGCCACACUGGGACUGAGACACGGCCCAGACUCCUACGGGAGGCAGCAGUGGGGAAUUUUGGACAAUGGGGGCAACCCUGAUCCAGCAAUGCCGCGUGUGUGAAGAAGGCCUUCGGGUUGUAAAGCACUUUUGUCCGGAAAGAAAUGGCGCUGGUUAAUACCCGGCGUCGAUGACGGUACCGGAAGAAUAAGCACCGGCUAACUACGUGC